rnacentral:lncRNA from 1 species
UCAUCUGCCUCCUUCUGUGCCUGCCUGGCUGCCCCUACCCUGGGGCUCCCUCCUAGCCCCCACCUCACCUACUGGCUCACUGAGACAGAGCCAAACAUGAAAGGGAAGGUGACGGCCUGGCCAUAGGGCCCAGGAAAAUGCAGAUGCUGACGAUACGACAGUGAAUACAACAUGAAAAAACAAGCACACUUCUCACCCCUAUGGAGCUUUAUUCUGGUCAGGCAGAAGGAGAAGGAAAUGUAAACAUGCAAGGUCAGGUACUGCUGUGAAGCAAAAUAAAGCUGUGGGUACUGUGCGAAGGAUAGGCUGUGUGUGUGUGUGUCUGUGUGCGUGUGUGUGUGUGUGUUGUGCAUAUUAAGUCAAAAAAUGAAUCUGGAUGAUCCUGGGCCAGGUCUGACCCCAGCAUUGCCACUGACUGUAUAAUCUCAAGCAAGUCAUGCCUCCCCUCUGGGCCUCACUUUCCUCAUCUGUAAAGUGAGACCGUGGACUGAAAGGCCAUUGUGAUCUGGCCUCAGUCUUGACCCUCCAGGAUCUAACACAUUUUGCCUCUGUGAAUUUAAUGGGGGGAAUUAUAGGCAG